rnacentral:tRNA from 1 species
CCUGAUGGCUUAGAUGGUAAAGCGUCUGCCUAUAGUGUGGAAGACCUGGGUUAGAUCCCUGGGUCAGGA